UACAGAGGUCUCAAGCGUUGUUCGGAUUCAUUGGGCGUAAAGGGUGCGUAGGCGGCGCGGUAAGUCGGGUGUGAAAUCUUGGAGCUUAACUCCGAAACUGCAUUCGAUACUGCCGUACUUGAGGACUGGAGAGGAGACUGGAAUUUACGGCGUAGCGGUGAAAUGCGCAGAUAUCAGGAAGAACACCCGUGGCGAAGGCGGCUCUCUGGGACGGUACUGACGGCUGAGACGCGAAAGCGUGGGGAGCGAACAGG
rnacentral:rRNA from 1 species